UACGUAGGGUGCAAGCGUUGUCCGGAAUUAUUGGGCGUAAAGAGCUCGUAAGCGGUCUGUCACGUCGGCUGUGAAAACCCGAGGCUCAACCUCGGGCCUGCAGUCGAUACGGGCAAACUAGAGUACUGCAGGGGAGACUGGAAUUCCUGGUGUAGCGGUGAAAUGCGCAGAUAUCAGGAGGAACACCGGUGGCGAAGGCGGGUCUCUGGGCAGUAACUGACGCUGGAGGAGCGAAAAGCGUGGGGAGCGAACAGG
rnacentral:rRNA from 1 species